rnacentral:piRNA from 1 species
UAUGUGCUGAUCCUGAGGAUACAUGCCCU